AAUGGCUGCGGUGGCUACAGCUAGCGAGCAUGAGAAUGAAAAGGGCAGUUUUCAGAAAAAAACUAGCAGUAUUUCAAUCUUCUUGACGGAACAAAGGUACAAAUUGGAGUACAGUGGCAUAUCCCAUCCCUGCAUUGAAACCUCUUCAAACCCUACAACUGACUGGAACUAAGAUACAUGAAGUUACUGCACAAAUCAAGCUGGAACAAGCACCGCUGACCUGCUUCGCAAGUUAACUAGAUACCCAACGUUACCCUGCUAGUCCCUUCAAUGACAUUCAUUGGACAAGCGAAAUGAAUGAAAAUCUAAAGUCUUAUGACGUCAUCCGGGCAGCCACUGGUGAUUUGUGCAGCAGUUCGAGGUAGAUCCAGGAUCAGAUUACACAACUCUCAUAAUGAGGAUAAAAACAAUGAGACUGGACCAGUGGUGCGGGGAAACUCCUACCAGCAGUACUCUCCCAAAGAGUAGUGAAACCUGUACUGCACUCAUCUGGCAGUAUGUACCACAAUAAUAUUGGGAUAUACCUUGUUUGAUGCAUAUUGUGACUUAUGCCAUGUGAAGGUUCAACACAGAAUGUUGUUUUCU